rnacentral:siRNA from 1 species
UAUACUAGUGAAUAAAGAAUCCCU